rnacentral:miRNA from 1 species
AUAUAUAUCUACAUAUGUGUGUGUGUGUGUGUGUGUGUGUGUGUAUAUAUAUUCACACACACACACACUAGAGG